UGUAUGCUGCGGUCCCCGACAGCCUCCGGCAGCUCUGAGAGCCCGGAGGAGCCGCCUGCUCCGGAGCCGAGGGCCGACCCCAGCGGAGACACUCGGGACACUGGAGCCUCGUCUGAAAACCCCCCGCCUGCUAAACCUGCCAGGUCUGACCCGGGAACAAUGCCUAAGUGGCUCAAGCUUCCAGGUAAGAAAUGAGACGGCUGCUGUGUGUUGAAGGAGGACGUCUCUGGAGCUGCGUGCAGACUGAAGAGAGCACUUAAACCUUUUUGCUGCGCUUUGAUAAAGGCUCGACUUUGUAUCCACACAUCCCUUGUGGAAGAAGCCUGCACAUGCCUAGGUUUUUAAGCAGUCAAAUAAUGAGAUCAAUUAGUGAAAGGUGUUUUUCAUUGCAGAGGAUUGUUGUGUUUCAUUCCAGUUGAUCUCUGAGCAGAGUGCCGAAGGUGUUGUGCAAAGUGAAUAAAGAUUGUUGUACUUA